GUUUCUGUAGUGCAGUGGUUAUCACAUUUGCCUUACACGCGAAAAGUCCCCAGUUCAAAACUGGGCAGAAACU